AGCGGCGGACGGGUGAGUAACGCGUGGGUAACCUGCCUCGUACAGGGGGAUAACAGUUGGAAACGGCUGCUAAUACCGCAUAAGCGCACAGUACCGCAUGGUACGGUGUGAAAAACUCCGGUGGUAUGAGAUGGACCCGCGUCUGAUUAGCUUGUUGGUGAGGUAACGGCCCACCAAGGCAACGAUCAGUAGCCGGCCUGAGAGGGUGACCGGCCACAUUGGGACUGAGACACGGCCCAA
rnacentral:rRNA from 1 species